ACUGGGAAUCCUGGGAGUGCCUUCUGAUGAAGUUAUUCGAAGGAAAAUGCCUGUGUUCGCUGUAUGCUGAAAGCCUGCAUCUGCUGCUUGUGGUGCCUGAAGAAGUCUAAUGAAAUGCAGGUCCUACAAAUACUGAGGUUGUCUUAUGUYARAGGCAACACAUGAUCAUAACUGACAAUCCCUAAAUUGUGRCAACAUUGAGUCAUUACUGYUUACUAAGUUUGUAAUACCCUAUCCAUAGAAAACGGGAUUCCCUAUGACUGUAUCUCUAUUUCCUUCAUGAGUUAUUGUUACAUAACAGAAUUGUUAUACCUUUUUUUGCAUAUUAAUAAAAGAAAA